AGUGAACGCUGGCGGUAGGCCUAACACAUGCAAGUCGAACGGCAGCACAGUAAGAGCUUGCUCUUACGGGUGGCGAGUGGCGGGCGGGUGAGGAAUACAUCGGAAUCUACUUUUUCGUGGGGGAUAACGUAGGGAAACUUACGCUAAUACCGCAUACGACCUACGGGUGAAAGCAGGGGAUCUUCGGACCUUGCGCGAUUGAAUGAGCCGAUGUCGGAUUAGCUAGUUGGCGGGGGAAAGGCCCACCAAGGCGACGAUCCGUAGCUGGUCUGAGAGGAUGAUCAGCCACACUGGAACUGAGACACGGUCCAGACUCCUACGGGAGGCAGCAGUGGGGAAUAUUGGACAAUGGGCGCAAGCCUGAUCCAGCCAUACCGCGUGGGUGAAGAAGGCCUUCGGGUUGUAAAGCCCUUUUGUUGGGAAAGAAAAGCAGCAGGUUAAUACCCCGCUGUUCUGACGGUACCCAAAGAAUAAGCACCGGCUAACUUCGUG
rnacentral:rRNA from 1 species